rnacentral:rRNA from 1 species
GGCUCAGGACGAACGCUGGCGGCGUGCUUAACACAUGCAAGUCGAACGAAGCUUGAUUACAGAUUCUUCGGAUGAAGUAUGAUAUGACUGAGUGGCGGACGGGUGAGUAACGCGUGAGUAACCUGCCCUUCAGAGGGGGAUAGCGUUUGGAAACGAACGGUAAUACCGCAUAAAGUAUUUUGACCGCAUGAUCGAAAUACCAAAGAUUUAUCGCUGAAGGAUGGACUCGCGUCUGAUUAGGUAGUUGGUGGGGUAACGGCCUACCAAGCCGACGAUCAGUAGCCGGACUGAGAGGUUGAUCGGCCACAUUGGGACUGAGACACGGCCCAGACUCCUACGGGAGGCAGCAGUGGGGAAUAUUGCACAAUGGGCGCAAGCCUGAUGCAGCAACGCCGCGUGAAGGAAGACGGUUUUCGGAUUGUAAACUUCUGUUCUUAGUGAAGAAUAAUGACGGUAGCUAAGGAGCAAGCCACGGCUAACUACGUGCCAGCAGCCGCGGUAAUACGUAGGUGGCAAGCGUUGUCCGGAAUUACUGGGUGUAAAGGGAGCGCAGGCGGGUGAUCAAGUCAGCUGUGAAAACUACGGGCUUAACCCGUAGACUGCAGUUGAAACUGUUCAUCUUGAGUGAAGUAGAGGUUGGCGGAAUUCCGAGUGUAGCGGUGAAAUGCGUAGAUAUUCGGAGGAACACCGGUGGCGAAGGCGGCCAACUGGGCUUUAACUGACGCUGAGGCUCGAAAGUGUGGGGAGCAAACAGGAUUAGAUACCCUGGUAGUCCACACUGUAAACGAUGAUUGCUAGGUGUGGGGGGUCUGACCCCUUCCGUGCCGGAGCUAACGCAAUAAGCAAUCCACCUGGGGAGUACGACCGCAAGGUUGAAAC